AACGAACGCUGGCGGCAGGCCUAACACAUGCAAGUCGAGCGAAGCCUUCGGGCUUAGCGGCGGACGGGUGAGUAACGCGUGGGAACGUGCCCUUUGGUACGGAAUAGCCGCGGGAAACUGGGAGUAAUACCGUAUGUGGUCGAGAGACGAAAGAUUUAUCGCCAAAGGAUCGGCCCGCGUUGGAUUAGGUAGUUGGUGGGGUAAUGGCCUACCAAGCCGACGACCCAUAGCUGGUUUGAGAGGAUGAUCAGCCACACUGGGACUGAGACACGGCCCAGACUCCUACGGGAGGCAGCAGUGGGGAAUCUUAGACAAUGGGGGAAACCCUGAUCUAGCCAUGCCGCGUGAUCGAUGAAGGCCUUAGGGUUGUAAAGAUCUUUCAGUGGGGAAGAUAAUGACUGUACCCACAGAAGAAGCCCCGGCUAACUCCGUGCCAGCCGCCGCCAGUAAAAC
rnacentral:rRNA from 1 species